rnacentral:rRNA from 1 species
UAAGGAAUAUUGGUCAAUGGACGCAAGUCUGAACCAGCCAUGCCGCGUGAAGGAUGAAGGUCCUCUGGAUUGUAAACUUCUUUUAUAGGGGACGAAACCUCUUUUUCUAAAGAGACUGACGGUACCCUAGGAAUAAGCACCGGCUAACUCCGUGCCAGCAGCCGCGGUAAUACGGAGGGUGCAAGCGUUAUCCGGAUUCACUGGGUUUAAAGGGUGCGUAGGAGGGCAGGUAAGUCAGUGGUGAAAUCUCUGGGCUCAACCCGGAAACUGCCGUUGAUACUAUCUGUCUUGAAUACUGUGGAGGUGAGCGGAAUAUGUCAUGUAGCGGUGAAAUGCUUAGAUAUGACAUAGAACACCAAUUGCGAAGGCAGCUCACUACACAUAUAUUGACUCUGAGGCACGAAAGCGUGGGGAUCAAACAGG